rnacentral:rRNA from 1 species
UACGUAGGUGGCAAGCGUUGUCCGGAUUUAUUGGGUUUAAAGGGUGCGUAGGCGGUUUCAUAAGUCAGUGGUGAAAUACGGCAGCUUAACUGUCGAGGUGCCAUUGAUACUGUGGAACUUGAGUACAGACGAGGUAGGCGGAAUUGACGGUGUAGCGGUGAAAUGCUUAGAUAUCGUCAAGAACACCGAUAGCGAAGGCAGCUUACUAGACUGUAACUGACGCUGAGGCACGAAAGUGUGGGGAUCAAACAGG